rnacentral:rRNA from 1 species
UACAGAGGUCUCAAGCGUUGUUCGGAUUCAUUGGGCGUAAAGAGCGCGUAGGCGGCCAGAUAAGUCCGGUGUGAAAGUCACAGGCUCAACCUGUGAAUGCCGCUGGAAACUGUCUGGCUAGAGUCCGGAAGGGGCGAGUGGAAUUCCUGGUGUAGCGGUGAAAUGCGCAGAUAUCAGGAGGAACACCAAUGGCGAAGGCAGCUCGCUGGGACGGUACUGACGCUGAGACGCGAAAGCGUGGGGAGCGAACAGG